UUCCGGUUGAUCCUGCCGGAGGCUACUGCUAUCGGGAUUCGAUUAAGCCAUGCGAGUCGAGAGGGUUCGGCCCUCGGCUGACUGCUCAGUAACACGUGGAUAACUUGCCCUCAGGUAGGGGAUAAUCUCGGGAAACUGAGGAUAAUACCCUAUAGACAUCCUUUGCUGGAACGCUUGGAUGUUCAAAGGUAACGCCUGAGGAUAGGUCUGCGGCCUAUCAGGUUGUAGUGGGUGUAAUGGACCCACUAGCCCGCGACGGGUACGGGCCUUGAAAGAGGUAGCCCGGAGAUGGACUCUGAGACACGAGUCCAGGCCCUACGGGGCGCAGCAGGCGCGAAAACUUCGCAAUGCGGGAAACCGUGACGAGGGAAUCCCGAGUGCUCAUACAAUGUAUGGGCUUUUCUUAUGUGUAAAUAGCAUGAGGAAUAAGGGCUGGGUAAGACCGGUGCCAGCCGCUGCGGUAAUACCGGCAGCUCUAGUGGUAGCCACUUUUAUUGGGCCUAAAGCGUCCGUAGCCGGUCAGGUAAAUCCUUGGGUAAAUCGUACAGCUUAACUGUGCGGCUUCCGGGGAGACUGCCUGACUUGAGACCGGGAGAGGUUGGAGGUACUCCUGGGGUAGGGGUGAAAUCCUGUAAUCCUAGGUGGACCACCGGUGGCGAAGGCGUCCAACC
rnacentral:rRNA from 1 species